AGUCGAACGCUUCUUUCCUCCCGAGUGCUUGCACUCAAUUGGAAAGAGGAGUGGCGGACGGGUGAGUAACACGUGGGUAACCUACCCAUCAGAGGGGGAUAACACUUGGAAACAGGUGCUAAUACCGCAUAACAGUUUAUGUCGCAUGGCAUAAGAGUGAAAGGCGCUUUCGGGUGUCGCUGAUGGAUGGACCCGCGGUGCAUUAGCUAGUUGGUGAGGUAACGGCUCACCAAGGCCACGAUGCAUAGCCGACCUGAGAGGGUGAUCGGCCACACUGGGACUGAGACACGGCCCAGACUCCUACGGGAGGCAGCAGUAGGGAAUCUUCGGCAAUGGACGAAAGUCUGACCGAGCAACGCCGCGUGAGUGAAGAAGGUUUUCGGAUCGUAAAACUCUGUUGUUAGAGAAGAACAAGGACGUUAGUAACUGAACGUCCCCUGACGGUAUCUAACCAGAAAGCCACGGCUAACUACGUGCCAGCAGCCGCGGUAAUACGUAGGUGGCAAGCGUUGUCCGGAUUUAUUGGGCGUAAAGCGAGCGCAGGCGGUUUCUUAAGUCUGAUGUGAAAGCCCCCGGCUCAACCGGGGAGGGUCAUUGGAAACUGGGAGACUUGAGUGCAGAAGAGGAGAGUGGAAUUCCAUGUGUAGCGGUGAAAUGCGUAGAUAUAUGGAGGAACACCAGUGGCGAAGGCGGCUCUCUGGUCUGUAACU
rnacentral:rRNA from 1 species